rnacentral:rRNA from 1 species
UACGGGAGGCAGCAGUGGGGAAUAUUGCACAAUGGGCGCAAGCCUGAUGCAGCCAUGCCGCGUGUAUGAAGAAGGCCUUCGGGUUGUAAAGUACUUUCAGUCGUGAGGAAGGUGUUAAGGUUAAUAACCUUAGCAAUUGACGUUAGCGACAGAAGAAGCACCGGCUAACUCCGUGCCAGCAGCCGCGGUAAUACGGAGGGUGCGAGCGUUAAUCGGAAUUACUGGGCGUAAAGGGCACGCAGGCGGUUAAUUAAGUUGGAUGUGAAAUCCCCGGGCUUAACCUGGGAAUGGCAUUCAAGACUGGUUAGCUAGAGUCUUGUAGAGGGGGUAGAAUUCCAUGUGUAGCGGUGAAAUGCGUAGAGAUGUGGAGGAAUACCGGUGGCGAAGGCGGCCCCUGGACAAAGACUGACGCUCAUGUGCGAAAGCGUGGGGAGCAAACAGGGAUUAAAGUACC